GAUAGUGUUCAUUCUUGCCUCAGAGGUGGAAGAGCCAUAGCAACGAGCUCUGCACCCCUUCCCUGUCACGCUAAAUGGUGUUCACCGACUCAGACCUUAGGGGUGCAUUUGCAAUUAGAGCCGAACGUCAACAACACUUGCUAUUAGUUUGAUCAGCUGCUCCUUUCUCACAACGAAGUUUAUGAGAAGUGGAAGAGAAAAUGUACUAAAGUUUGGAAAUCAGAACUGUUGAUGGUGUACAACAAUGAGGUGUUGGAGCAACCAAGGAAUUGUCACUACCUUGCCAUCUUCAAGAUGUAAUUUUGGAUGUGGGUGCAUAAGAGCCCACGUGUUCUUCAGCUGGACGAAAGUCAGGUGGGUUGCUGAAGGAGUGUUUCCUCCAUUUGAUACUUCAGUAUUGAUGUGAGGUUCUUGGCCCUUCUAUUUUUUUCUUUCUUACUCAAUAAUUUUCUGAUCAGCUUUACCAAGAUGUCUAUGGUAAUACUAAAGUUCCAUAAUCAAAGAUAUUUCAAGCUUGUGGAAAGUCUGUUGUAACCAAAUUUAGUCUCAUUAUUUGCUGUAAUCUGCAUCAUGAUAUAAAUUAUGAUUGGAGUUUGCUUGGAUUAAGAAACUUUUUCAGUUCAAAGCAUGUAAUCUAUAUGUUUGGUAGGUGGAUCUGGGCAAAAAGAGACCCAAUGACCGAAUUUUUAAUGUUAUCUUUUUGAAUUGAUGUCCCUUUUUUGUGGGAUUUGGUAGUUGGUUUGCAUUGUUAUCUUCAGUCCCUGAUUUUUGAUGAAGCUGUCAUGUCCAAUCUGAUUUGAAGUAGGUUUGUAGAUGGAGAGUUGUAGUGGGAAGGUUUCACAUAAGCUCUCCUCUUAUUUGCGUUUCUUCAGAUCCAUUUGGCUAUAAAUAUUCACAUCUCUUAUCCCCAUUCCCUCAUUCCACCACUCUGUUUGAAUUGUUUGUUAUCAAUUGUUGAGAGAGCUAGCCCUAUUACUUUAUUAGUUAUUUUAUCUGGACUCCGUAUGCUGAAUAACUUCCCAUAUCAUUUUUGCGCAUAUGUGGCUUAUCUAUCUUUUUUGUGUGUGUUAGCACCUGCCUUCUUUGGUUAAAUUUUGCAUGUUUUCCAUUUUGAUAUGAUGGUGUUUUCGUAUCUGUCUAUUGGAUACAGUUUUAUGUUGCUGUGGUGGUGCUUAUGGAGCAUUUCAAAAUUGUAAGCUUUUUCUGUUUCCUUCAUCUUUAUUAUCUCUGACCUUUGUGUGUAUUAGACAUAUCCAGCUGCCCAAUCAAACACAAUUAUGAAGACUUAUUAUUUCUUUCCAAGAAUAUGAAUAUAUUUGUUGCAAUACCAUUAUUGUCAUUAAGUUUUUUGUUUCCUUCCAAAGAUAGAUUUGUUUACCUUGCUUUGUUAUGUGUCUAGGUUCAUUACAUAAGUGCUGCUGCUGCAACUUUUUUAUUGUAUCAGAAAGAAUAAGAAAAAAGGUGUUCACGUUUAAUCAUAUUCUUCUUCUUUCCUAUCUCUGUUUCUUUAACUUAAUUGGUACCUUUAAUGUAGCAUUUAUCCAUUUCAUUUACAACAAUAUACCUUGGUUUUCAAGUUAUAAUGUUAUGUUACCUUACUUUUAUUUUUGAAGUUAGAGAUAUCUACCAAGUCCAGUCCAAAUUCCAGCCUACCUCAAAUUCUCCCUUAAUCUCAUUUUUAUACCCUUUCUCACACUAUCUCCAGCCCAAAUGUGUUCCCCACUACCUCUGCCAGCUAGGCAGUUAAUUAGUCUCUUUGUAGUUGCACUUUACUUUUCCUUCCUUUCUAAAUUAAGUUCACUGCUAUACUAUAAUAUGUUAAUGUUCUAUUGCUGCUUCCAAAUACAUGAAUAUGUUGUCGACUGCGAGUGUACCAAAAUCUGCAGCAGUUAUUGGUGAUCAGGGAUCAAGAGAAAGUGAGUGAAGCAUUUGUAUGUGUUGUUGCACAUGUGUAUAGUAUAUAGACAAUUAUAGAAAGGGAAUUAUGAGAGGUAACUUUCUGAUGCAGAGAAGUUGUUUCUUUUGUAUAGAUGCAACAAGUGUGAAAGAAGUUCAAUUUUUGAUUUACAAUUUUAUGCCAAUCAAGUGGAUAUAUGAAUUCAUAGCUAUAGCAUAAGCAAAAAAUUGGGUUAUACAGAUGUUCUUGGGUUAUACAGUAUUUUAUAGCAAUAGAACAAAUUGUUUGCUUCAUUUCUUGCCCAUGUAGAUCAUAUUAAAAUCCAGAAUACAUUUACAUGUCUUCCUCAUUAUUGAAGUGUUAUUUACUUGAGAAGUGAGGAUGAUAGGUGUAAACAUGUGAAUAUAAAGUUAGUUAGGUAAAGGAUAACUACUUACCAGUCCAGGGCAUAAGGAAGGAGGAUUGAGGAUUUAAACAGAUAAUAUAACACAUUUGUGUCUCCUUAAAACCAUACUGUAAGCUGUCUACCAUAGCACCCAACUGGUUCUUUUUCUUCUAUAAGGUUAUCAAAUCUGGGUGAUAAAACUAGAAUUCAAUAGAGUUAGCAAUUUGUCUUGAAAGUGUAUCUUUGUGUAUGCUAAACUUAAUCCAUCAUUUUCCUAUAUAAUAAUAUAACAGAUUUUGCUAUUAUCAGAUCUCUCAUCCCAUCCCUAGAAAACAAUGAAAAUGAACUUCAAACCAUCUAUUCCUCCAUUUCUCGAAAGUAAUUCUUUGUUAUGUAUUAUUUCUGUUAUGUGGUUGUGCGUAUGGUCCACUACUUUUCUUCUUUCUUGGACUGUUUUGUUGAUAUAUAAGUCAUAAUGCUAAUAUGCACGUUAUUGUAAAAAUUGAAGAUGCAGAUUUCAUAUCAAAUCUUCAUUCAAUACUUUCAGUUUCACAUGGGGUUAGUUCCUUGCUAUCUUAUUAUGUAUUGUUGAUGUAUAUGUUCAUAUCUUCCGGACAAGAUGUUGACUUUUAUAUUAUCUUGGUAAUCAAUUGAUAGACAUGUUACGACUAAAAACUCAGCCUUUCUUUAGAGAAAGAUUUGUGCUUAGCAUAUUAAUAAUGUGAUAGUGCUUAUGUUUUUUACAAGCUUAUAUUUUUUGUAUUUUUUUGUAUUUUUUUCACUAUCAUCUAUUAUAAAAGAUUGCUGAAGCCUCCAAUUGAGCUGAAUUUCACUGUUCAUAAGAGUCAUUUUUUAUUCCCGAUAUACUCACUUUUGGCCUAGGUCUUUUCUUUUUUUAUCUCUAGAGAGAGGGGGUGAGUCUGUGAGAGGCUUGGCUCAACGACAAUGACUAGCCAAGAGAGAGUUAUGUGAGCCUUCUAUUGUUAGCGUAUUUCGUCAUCUUCCGUACUAAACCAGGUACGAUUCACCUUUUACGUCGUGUCCCAAGGAUUUUCAGAAAGCAAAAUCUUUGUCGCGCUUCUUCUCCUUCAACUGGUCCUUAUUGAUGCUAAGAUUAUUUCUCUCUUUUUAUAAUUCAAUUUUUAUGUCAUGAGCAUUAACAUGUAUGCCUUAGAUGAUAUCUAACCAUGUAUUGAAUUUUAGGUUCAUCUUAUUUUAAGGGCGCUUCACAUAAUUUUUAAGGUGCUUCACAUGUUUUUUAGGUUCAUCAUACUUGGUGUGGACCUACUUCUGACCAUUAUAUACUUUCUGAUUUCGAUACUCUUUUUUUAUGAUAAUUAAACACAAAAGAAGAGAUAAUGAGAGGGAAGACUCAGAUGAAGCGCAGCUGGCCGAUGACCUUCUCAAAGACAUGUAAUGGGCUACUGAAGAAAAGGCAUUAAGCUAUCAGUUCCCAGAGUGUGAUAAGCUUUGCAACGCCCAUAACUCCAGGCAAGGCUAUUGAUGCUGUUGAUAUUGGAAAAGUUGUGGCUUCUGGGAAUCUCAAGUUUGAGAAAGAUGAUUUGGUUAUGGAAGUCUUCAGAUAAGAGUAAGAUUGCAUACAUAUGUACUAGAAUACUGAGGAGAAGAAGAUGUAAUAAAGACAUUUUGCAAGUAGACCAGAAAGUAGAUCUAAUAAAGGCAAAAGGGGCCAAGCUUUCCUCGGAUCAUGGUCAUUCAUAGAAGAUACUGAUUGUUAUAGGUUUGGGCUCUUGGAGAUAAAAAUACCUGCUUCUGAACCCUUAUGCCAACUGAUGCUUCAAGUUGGUGAUCUCGAUGUUGCCAUUGCCUUUUAUCAAAAAGUUAUUGUAUCUAUUGCAACUUAGUUAUAGUUAUUUAAUUGAUUUGUUAGGUUUACAUCUUCAAUAUUCAUCAUCGAACUGUUCCACAAAA